GUUGGCGUGCUUGCCUGAAACCUAGCUCAGAUUUCUGACAUGUGAUUGUGAAGCCGGAACGUGGCAGGGCCAUAGUGCAGGAGUCAGGAAUUAACCCAGCCUCAUAUGGAUACUACAGCGGUGACAAGGACCAUGAAGCGCCAAAUGAUGUAUUUAAUCAACGUAAUGGCAAAUGCCAUUUUCCUUGGCUACCAAACAACAUAUUUAAUCAACGAGCUGAGAUUGUCAACACCGCUUCCCUAUCACCGUCCAUGGAGUAUCAGGUCAUCUAGCGCCUCUUCAACACCUGCUUUAUAUAAUUAUCUUUUGCCUUUUUUAUAGACUUAUUGCUCCUUAUGUUUUACUAAAAAUGUAAAAUAGUUAGCUAAACCUUGAAAUAAUUGCCAGCACCUUAUUUUUACCAAUUACAGAAUUAAAAGAUUCAUUUUUUUCCUAUUCCCGAAUGUGAAGUGCCAUGAUUAUCUUAUUUCAAAAUAUUUGCUAUUUAAUUUGCCUAGAUUUUCAGAGCAGAACACAGACACUGAUUGGAAGUAAGAAGCUAAAAAUUGGAGACAUGUACAUUACCAACUCGUAAAUUACUGCAUGGUGAUGGAGUUUGUUUCGGGGCAAUAGUUCCAAUAUCAUAUCCACUUAUUGUUUUUUCACAAAAAAUGUUGUUUGUUGGUUGCAUUUCUAUCCGUGACUACAGGUUAGGGAAAUUACGUUUAUGACUCACUCUCCUAGCCAUUGAGAUACUUGCACAACUGAAGGAUCGAAGAAAUAUACUAAUCAUUGCCACUGAUACAACUUUUGGAAUGUGUACUUGCAUAAUAAACAAUAUAGUGCACUUUGAGUUGAAAAGUGAAAGUUUACUUGUCAAUUUGAGGGACCGUCAACCCCAAAUAUGCAAGGUAAGAAGCACAAUUCUUAUAAUUUUGUCCUAUUGUUUGUUUUGCACCGUGUUGCUAGAUUAUUGGUUCUUCUCUUCUGUGUGCUAUUUUUUAUUUUUGGGAAUCCAUACUAUAUUGACUUACCAAAUUGGACAUCAGAUAGUGAUAUUUUUUUAGCAUCCUAUCCCCCAUACUUGCAGUCUGCUCCUUACUACACAUAGUGCUUUUUAAGAUAAUCAUAUUAACAUUUGCUUCGGCUGCUACAUAAUUGUUGAUAGAACUUGACAUUCAUGUAGUCCAGAAUGUACUCCUGCUUACGCAAUUGAUGAGUUCAUCUUGAAAAAUACACCUAUGAUUUAGAUUUAGCUUACGGACAUCUUUGUUGACAGUGGAAUGAACAUGUAUGUUAGAGCUCAUCACGGACGAAGAACUAUAUGCAGAUUCACAUUGUGGUGUUAUAUUGGUGGAAUUGUGAGCUCGCUCUCUCGACCACGCGUGGGUCAUACUGGGAUGGGAACCAAAAUUCUUUUCCAGUGGCAUGCAUUUUGGGGAAAAGAGAAAUAUGGGUGACCAUUAAGCCGCACAUAUUGAGAAAAUCAGUUUAUUAAGUGUUUACACCAUAUCAUGUGACUCUUUCUGAAUGGUUGUUGAUUAAACCAUGUAACAAAUAUAGUUGUUGAUAUGGAAAUCAAGAUACGCUUAUGCAAA